UGCACGUGCCCUGCUUCUCCA
rnacentral:miRNA from 1 species